ACAAAGAUUUUCUCCAAACAAAUAAAUAGAAAUAUUACAUGGACGCAUAUUGGCUAUACACACUGGUACAAUUAGACACAGUUCACUUAAAUAUAACUGUGCUUGUUGAAUUGUAAUAACUGUGGCAUUAGGUGAACUGUACCGUAGGCUGUGCACUUGCCUUAUUGUUGGAAACAGAAAUAGAGCUCUAUCUUGUUAUUUUCUCUGUAUUCUACCCUCAUGGUUCAUAGGGUAACAAGCAUAGUAUUUGAAUGAGAUGGCAUUUACUGUUGGUGGCUUAUUUGUAUGCCUAACAAGUUGGGUGCAAUGCUCAUUUGGCAAACAAUUCUUCAUGGGUAGGUCUUUGAUCUUGUUCAUAUAUGUACACAGUGAGCUUUACGAAAUGAAUUCACUGCUACUCGAAGUUUUGUGUAUGGAAGGGAGAUUGGAUAUUCGGCUCACUGUGUACUAACCAAAACAUAUUUGGAAGUGGACAAGUCCAUGGCAAAAGCAGGAAUACGACCACAAGCAAGUCAUGGAAAUUUCGAGUAUUUUGAUUCUGAGUUUUCUUUCUUAGUUGGGGAAAAUUCUAGUUAGGUCAUUGAUUCUGUCAAUUAGAUUUUGUGCUGAAUAGAAAGUCUCAUUUACAGAAGAAGGAAGCAAUGUUGCUUAAGGGAAACAAUUGAUGCAUUUUGCAAAAGAAAAAGAAGUGAUUCAGUUGAAUAUAAAUUAUCCAAGUUUCUCGAUAUAAAUAUCUAAUUGGUUGUAUACAUUAUGUAUUUGAAUUUUUUUUCUCUUGUAGCUUCGCCCCUCCUGAGAUUUCCUUCAAGCUCCGCCACUGACUGCUCUACGUUCUCCAGAGAUAAUGCUUUUUACUAUUUGCAAUCAUGCUUCACACUCUCAUCACAAUAAAUUAGAAAAGAAUGCCGCCGGUUGUGGUUGUUGAUAUAGUUUCUUAUUCUUGCAUGCCAGCUGGUUCUUGAAGUAGAGUUGUAGACGACAUAAUCAUCUUUCGUAUUUUUGUUUGCAUGUUUCCAAGAAUUUUCAUGUCCUGAACUCUGUACAGUACUCAAGUUUACAAAGAAAACAUUUCAUGCAAUAAUUGUGGCUACAACUCUUGGAAUUGGAACUGUGAAAGGAUGUGUCAUAUUUGCUUCCUAGUUUGCACUUUUUGGUCCAUGCUGUUCUUCCUAGUUUGCACCGUCCUUCUUGGUUUUACAUUCCUAAUGGCUUACAUUGGUUCUGAAUCUUCUGAUAACCAGAUGUUUACUUCAAUGAGCUUAUUUGUUUGUAUAUGUUUUCUUCUAAUGUUGUUUUCAAAUCUAUGAUUUACUCUUGACCAAUAAACAUACUAGCACAUGGUCACAAACCAGUGCAUAAAUCAACUUGUUUAUCUGUCUGUUUGUACAAAGCCUUAGUUAAAUUUUUUAGGCUAAUUCAACUUGGUUUGUGGGGACGAGUAGUAGCCCCCCCCCCCAAUUGUUCUCCCAUUUAACCAUGUAUAGAGAGCAUAAAAAGAGCUUUUGUUGACAAAAAAAUUUUGUAGUUCUGAAAAGGAAAUAUGUACGUAAAUUUAGAAAGUAGCAGGACACAUAUAGAGAAUCAUGAACAUCAAGUUUUGGACAUAUGUCAUAGAGAACAAAAGCCUCACAUUUAGCAUAUGUUUGCAAAUAAAAAAGCACAUACAUGUCUCGGUGUGAGCACUCAUGCCAUGCCAUCAGUGUGAGCAGCUGAAGCCUUGCAAAAAAAAUUCAUAUGCAAGCCCUGAAAAUUUUAUAUGGAAGCCAAAGGGUUGUAGAACUGGCCCUUAGUCACUUAAAUAUCACCUGGUCUUUGUUUCUAGUCCCAGAUUCUAUGUGGUCUGCAGCUCACAGAUUUGUCCUGUGUUUAUCUUGUUUUCUUAACUACUUCUUUACCUGCUGCCAUAGCUAUAAUCUCCAUUUUGAAUUUCUGUUCUGUUGCAGGUUUUGCAAAUGUAUGCAAGUUCACGGAGGUUUGGAAGGACCUUCAAGCUGUUGAAGAUUUGGAAUACCUACAAUUAAGUUGAUGGAGUGAUAAUGUCAUAUACCUUAUUUGUUGACCUGGAGACUUGCUCUGCUCAUUUUGGUUGUGGCAAAUUUAGAAAUUUAUGUACUACUUUUGUGGUACUACAUUUUGGUAGUGUGAUACAUCUAGAAACAUAUAUGUACUUCUCAUUUUGUGGAACAACCUCCUUAUAUAUGGAAGCUUAUAUGUACUUCUUUUCUGGAACAGCCUACUUGUAUUGUUGUGUUUAUCGAAUAAAGUUUACGGUUUUGAUGA